rnacentral:lncRNA from 1 species
AUCCCUGGAUGCUGGGUCACGACAUGUGGCAGAGCUCAUGUCUGCCCUAUGGAUGUGUGGCUGCUGCAUCUCAGCCUCUGGGUCCCAACCCCAUCAACCGGGUUUAUUGACUCUUUUAUUGACAAUGCUGGAGCCUAAUGAGGACAAGAACUGCACACUUCAUUAAGGGAUGUGAAAGGAGAGAUGAUGCAUCCAGUCAGUGCCAAGAAAUGGGCUCACUGUGUCCUUUGUGAGGCCCCAGAAACUAGGCUUCAUCCCACCACAGAGGCAGAGAAAAUGGACAUAAGAUGCUAACUUAGGUGCAUCACUUUGGUGUCCUUAAAAUGCAGGAUUUCCAUGGCCUGCCAGAAGACUUGCUCUCACUAAUUAGCCAACCCUUUGACUUAGCAGGGUCCUAUUCUGUGUGCACUCCCAUAAAUGUACCUUUAAUGAUCUCCCCUUCUGGUUCACACUCCUAGAUUCUUUGCCAUAAUGAACACAACAAGAUAAACAGGUUCUCACAUCAUAUAAGACAACAUGCCCAUAAGCAGUUUCUCCAUGAAGCAUAGGCUGGAAACACAUGAGGAAUAAUUAAAACUCAAAAGAAUCUUCAAAGAGGUCAAAUUCAAGAUGAGGAACAGACUCUUAUGCUCUGCCCGGGGUCCCCAGCCAGGAGCUUUGCUGGCAUUAGAAUCCUGGUGCUGGUUUAAAACUCUUGUAGAGUUGAACAAUACCCAAAAUAGUUAUAGUUAAGGAUUACUGAACCGUUCUGUAAAGUAGUCACUGUUCCCUCCAAACAGUAACCUUCCUUUCUUUGUUCUUUAUCUUAUCUUUCUAUCAUUCCCUUUAUUAUUUUUCCCCUAUCUCCCCCAGCC